UUGUGCUUGAUCUAACCAUGUGCUUCCAAGGUAUGAGUAAAACAUGGUUUUGUCAAGCACCAUG
rnacentral:pre_miRNA from 1 species